rnacentral:tRNA from 1 species
AUUUAUAUAGUUUAUAAAAACACUUUAUUUUCAUUAAAGAAAUAGUUAUAUUUUAACUUAUAAAUU